AUUGAACGCUGGCGGCAUGCCUUACACAUGCAAGUCGAACGGUAACGGGCCUUCGGGUGCCGACGAGUGGCGAACGGGGGCGUAAUACAUCGGAACGUGCCCGAUCGCGGGGGAUAACGAGGCGAAAGCUUUGCUAAUACCGCAUACGAUCUACGGUUGAAAGCAGGGGACCGCAAGGCCUUGCGCGGACGGAGCGGCCGAUGGCAGAUUAGGUAGUUGGUGGGAUAAAAGCUUACCAAGCCGACGAUCUGUAGCUGGUCUGAGAGGAUGAUCAGCCACACUGGGACUGAGACACGGCCCAGACUCCUACGGGAGGCAGCAGUGGGGAAUUUUGGACAAUGGGCGCAAGCCUGAUCCAGCCAUGCCGCGUGCAGGAUGAAGGCCUUCGGGUUGUAAACUGCUUUUGUACGGAACGAAAAGCCUUCUUUUAAUACAGGAGGGUCAUGACGGUACCGUAAGAAUAAGCACCGGCUAACUACGUG
rnacentral:rRNA from 1 species